rnacentral:rRNA from 1 species
GCUGAACGCUGACAGAAUGCUUAACACCUGCAAGUCAACUGUGGCGGACGGGUGAGUAACGCGUAAAGAACUUGCCUCACAGCUAGGGACAACCUUUGGAAACGAAUGCUAAUACCUGAUACUGUGAGAGAGCUUUGCGUCCCAUUAGCUAGUUGGAGGGGUAACGGCUCACCAAGGCGAUGAUGGGUAGCCGGCCUGAGAGGGUGAUCGGCAACAAGGGGACUGAGACACGGCCCUUACUCCGACGGGAGGCAGCAGUGGGGAAGAAUGGACAAUGGACCAAAGUCUGAUCCAGCAAUUCUGUGUGAACGAUGAAGUUUUCGGAAUGUAAAGUGCUUUCAGUUGGGAAGCGGUACCAACAGAAGAAGUGACGGCUAAAUACGUGCCAGCCGCCGCGGUAAUUC